rnacentral:rRNA from 1 species
UACGAAGGGGGCUAGCGUUGUUCGGAUUUACUGGGCGUAAAGCGCACGUAGGCGGAUCUUUAAGUCAGAGGUGAAAUCCCAAGGCUCAACCUUGGAACUGCCUUUGAUACUGGGGAUCUCGAGUUCGGGAGAGGUGAGUGGAACUGCGAGUGUAGAGGUGAAAUUCGUAGAUAUUCGCAAGAACACCAGUGGCGAAGGCGGCUCACUGGCCCGAUACUGACGCUGAGGUGCGAAAGGCGUGGGGAGCAAACAGG